rnacentral:rRNA from 1 species
UACGUAGGGGGCGAGCGUUGAUCGGAAUUACUGGGCGUAAAGUGUGCGUAGGUGGCCGCGCAAGUCGGGUGUGAAAUCCCCGAGCUUAACUUGGGAAUUGCGCUCGAAACUACGUGGCUCGAGUGUGGCAGAGGAAGGUGGAAUUCCACGUGUAGCGGUGAAAUGCGUAGAGAUGUGGAGGAACACCAAUGGCGAAAGCAGCUCUCUGGGACGGUACUGACGCUGAGACGCGAAAGCGUGGGGAGCAAACAGG